CUCCAAUUUGCGCUGGGCCUCACUCUGACAAUGGAGGAGACCCAGGACAGAAACGUCAGAUUGGGAAUUGGAGGGGUAGUUGAAGUGCUGAACCACUGGGAUAUCAGGUAUGUUAAGACAGACUAAGUGGAGGUGAUCAGCG